rnacentral:rRNA from 1 species
ACGAACGCUGGCGGCGUGCCUAAUACAUGCAAGUAGAACGCUGAAGCUUGGUGCUUGCACCGAGCGGAUGAGUUGCGAACGGGUGAGUAACGCGUAGGUAACCUGCCUGGUAGCGGGGGAUAACUAUUGGAAACGAUAGCUAAUACCGCAUAACAGUAGAUAUCGCAUGAUAGCUACUUGAAAGGUGCAAAUGCACCACUACCAGAUGGACCUGCGUUGUAUUAGCUAGUUGGUGAGGUAACGGCUCACCAAGGCAACGAUACAUAGCCGACCUGAGAGGGUGAUCGGCCACACUGGGACUGAGACACGGCCCAGACUCCUACGGGAGGCAGCAGUAGGGAAUCUUCGGCAAUGGACGGAAGUCUGACCGAGCAACGCCGCGUGAGUGAAGAAGGUUUUCGGAUCGUAAAGCUCUGUUGUAAGAGAAGAACGAGUGUGAGAGUGGAAAGUUCACACUGUGACGGUAUCUUACCAGAAAGGGACGGCUAACUACGUG